rnacentral:rRNA from 1 species
UACGUAGGGGGCUAGCGUUGCUCGGAAUGACUGGGCGUAAAGGGCGCGUAGGCGGUUCGUACAGUCAGACGUGAAAUUCCCGGGCUCAACCUGGGGACUGCGUUUGAUACUUGCGGGCUUGAGUUCGGAAGAGGGUCGUGGAAUUCCCAGUGUAGAGGUGAAAUUCGUAGAUAUUGGGAAGAACACCAGUGGCGAAGGCGACUAACUGGACAUGUAUUGACGCUGAGGUGCGAAAGCGUGGGGAGCAAACAGG